GCGGCAGAGCAGAUGGCCUCACCCUGCCUCUGGAAAUUGCAGUGUGUGUCUGUGAGAACUGAAAGGGUGUGGCCAUCUUGACCCCAAGAUGGGAGCCAGGCUCAGGACACGCAGUGAUGCCGGAAUGGCUCCCAAAUGGCUCCCAAAGCAUCAGCACUCAAUGAAACCAUUGUAUUUCCUGCUUGAACAGACCAAUGAAUAAGUGAUCAAGGACCAUUCUAAACUGCAGUCUUCCAGUUCUAUAAACAUUAUUAUUCGGAUCCAAAAAACUAUUAGCUAGAGCCUAUUGAUCCUCUAGCUCCCUCCUUUUCAGAGCACCAGCAUACAAAUCGUCUCAUUUGAUUUCCUUCUAGAAGCACAAGCUGGGCGUGGAAGACUGUACAGAUGUAGCAGGAAGGUAUGAAUGGCCAACGGCACAAGAUGAAACUGAAAGUGACAUUCCUGUUUUAAUACUUGCUCUUUGACCAAGCCUUUAAGAUUAAUGAAUCUCGGCCGGGUGCGGUGGCUCACGCCUGUAAUCCCAGCACUUUCAGAGGCUGAGGUGGGCAGAUCACAAGGUCAGGAGAUCAAUAUCAUCCUGGCCAAUAUGGUGAAACCCCAUCUCUAUUAAAAAUACACACACACACACACACACACACACACACACACACACACACACAAAUUAGCCGGGUGUGGUGGUGCGCCUGUAGUCCCAGCUACUCAGGAGUCUGAGGGAGGAGAAUCGCUUGAACCCGGGAGGCGGAGAAGGUGGUGAGCUGAGAUUGCGCCACUGCACUCCAGCCUGGCGACAGAGUGAGACUCUGUCUCAGAAAAAAAAAAAAAAAAGAAUCUCUUAGUUUUUAAGUGAUGAGUGGUUGGGAUUGCCAGUUUUGGUUUUGGCGUAGACUCAAGAGACAAAAAUACAAGCUGGCAGGUCCUAUAGUGAAAUUUGGAGUGAAUCCUGUAGCAGCUGAUGAGGAACUAUGAGACAGUGGCCUGUGUUGCUGGAUAGAGGCAUCCCACUGUCCACUCGUUGGUGUAUGUUCUCAUAAAUUCACAAUCAUUCUUUCAAAUGUGGCUCAACAAUCCGAUACUAAGGAGCACUACCUGAAAUCACAAAGACAGUUUCUUUGUGAAUAUUGCACCUUCUUCAUAGCUGUUGGUUCUUAGCACUGUUGUGUGUUCAAUCUUUCAUUAGAUUAUAUACUCCUUAAGACAGGAUCAGGAGUUAUAUUUUGUUGAAUAUACACUAUGUUGAUGUCAUAUGAAAUAAAAUUUAAGUGUAUAUUUGUGUACCAUAUGAGGAGAAAUAAACAAUAUUAUGUGUGAAUUUUACAUUUAUUCUAAUUUUCAUUCAUAUCAGUUCAAUCUUUCUCACUUUUCAGGAUACAUAGCCAGAGUCAAUAUUGGUGAGGAGGUCAGGAAGAGGUAGGAAAACGACUGGUGGUUGAAUUGACUGGAAUCAAAGGGGGAGACUGAUUCUAAUUGACAUGAGGCAGAAAAAUAAAAAAUAGCUCAGGAUUGAAAUGACACAAAGUUUUAUAUAUAUAUUUAUAUAUAUUUAUUUUAUAUAUAGAUAUAUAUGUUAUAUAUAUGUCAUAUACAUGUUAUAUAUGUUAUAUAUGAAUGUAUGUUAUAUAUAUAAAAUUCUAUGCUACCAUACAAUUACAGAAAACAUAGGAUUUUAGUUAAAAAAUAAAUGUUAUCUUCAUGGAUAUCAUUGGCCUUUUGAUUGCAUUUGUUGACUACAUGAAACUAUGGACAAACAAGUGAAUUUUUAAAAUUCUUUCAUCAUAUAUUAGUUAAUUAUUAAUUAUUAAGUCUCUUCACUUAAU
rnacentral:lncRNA from 1 species